rnacentral:misc_RNA from 1 species
GAUGAACAACGCAGCGAAAUGCGAUAAGUAAUGUGAAUUGCAGAAUUCAGUGAAUCAUCGAAUCUUUGAACGCACCUUGCACUCCUUGGUAUUCCGAGGAGUACGCCUGUUCGAGUGUUAUGAAGCUCUCAAAACGCAAUUGGCUUAAAACCUGAUUGUUGUUUUGGAUUUGAACUUUGCCGUGUUAUAACGGCUGGUUUUAAAAGUAUUAGCUGGUACUAGAACGAAUUGGUUCUACUCAACGUGAUAAUUAUCUGAUCGUUGAGGACAUUCCUUUCACGAGGAAUGGCCAUAGUAAAUUCAAUGGACUGCUUCUAAUCUGGCUUUAAUUCUUUAUUGGAUUAACCACUUUUCAAAUCUGACCUCGAAUCAGGUGGGACUACCCGCUGAACUUAAGCAUAUCAAUAAGCGGAGGA